AUGCUCGCUUUGGCAGCACAUAUUUUAAAAUAGGCAUGAUACAGAGAAAAUUAUCAUGGCCCCUGCACAAGGAUUACACGCAAAUUCAUGAAACGUUCCAUAUUUUU
ensembl:snRNA U6 U6 spliceosomal RNA